AGUGAACGCUGGCGGUAGGCCUAACACAUGCAAGUCGAACGGCAGCACAGUAAGAGCUUGCUCUUACGGGUGGCGAGUGGCGGACGGGUGAGGAAUACAUCGGAAUCUACUUUUUCGUGGGGGAUAACGUAGGGAAACUUACGCUAAUACCGCAUCCGACCUACGGGUGAAAGCAGGGGAUCUUCGGACCUUGCGCGAUUGAAUGAGCCGAUGUCGGAUUAGCUAGUUGGCGGGGUAAAGGCCCACCAAGGCGACGAUCCGUAGCUGGUCUGAGAGGAUGAUCAGCCACACUGGAACUGAGACACGGUCCAGGCUCCUACGGGAGGCAGCAGUGGGGAAUAUUGGACAAUGGGCGCAAGCCUGAUCCAGCCAUACCGCGUGGGUGAAGAAGGCCUUCGGGUUGUAAAGCCCUUUUGUUGGGAAAGAAAAGCAGCAGGUUAAUACCCCGCUGUUCUGACGGUACCCAAAGAAUAAGCACCGGCUAACUUCGUG
rnacentral:rRNA from 1 species